GUGCGGGUUCUGCGCGGCGCGGCAUCGCGAACCAUGUCAGGCGGGGAACCGAGCAGCAUUCAGCGAACCGCCGCGCGCGCCGCAGCCCACCCGUGCGCC
rnacentral:SRP_RNA from 1 species